GGUCCUUAGGAGUCAUUUUCGUUUGCCUUCUUCCCUUAGAGGAAGUUAGAGAGAAAGAGUUAAAGAGAGAAAGAUAGGGAAAGAGCGAGAGAGAGAGUUAUUCCCUUAGAGUUUCUCUUCCGCGAGUUGUUAGCCGAGUCCCGCUGUAGGAGCUGGUCGCAUCUAGUCCCUGCUAGAAGUAUGAUUAGAUCUUGUUCUUCUCAGCCAAGCCAGGUAACCUUAGUGGGAAAAGCCUUAGAGGGGAGCGCAGGACGUUAGGCCAGCCGGUGUAGAGUUGCGUUGCCUUUGCAAGUUGUUGUUUCUUUUUGUAAAAUUAAAUUAUCAUGUUUUGGCUCUAGGCCUGGUACCAAAAACGUUGUUAAUGUUUUAUGAACGUAUUUUCGUUAAGUAAUUAAAGUUGAAAGUUAUUUUUA